AUGAGGCAUAGAGGAAUUCUGUAACAAGAUGCGUAUCCUGUGUGGAAGGCCCCGGGGACUCUGACCUUGCCUCCCUGGACUGGCUACAGAGGUUUGACUGAUGCUGCCACAGAGGAUUCUGCUACACUGAAUCUGCUGUUCCUGCGAGAGAUAGACCAUGCUGGUGCAUUCUGGCUGAGGUUGGUGGGGGAAUGACUGCAAAGAGACUUCAGCUGAAAGAGGGAAAACAGCUUGGCCUUAGAAUUCCAAGAUCAUACUCCACGAGGCGAAGAUCCCAAGAUCUCAACCUCCUGGAAUGAUUUGGGGCAAAUCUGGCAGAAGGGAAGUAACACCUAUCAACAGGUAGAAAUACAGUACCUACGCUUGAAAUUGAGGACAAGAUUAGAUGCCAGAGGCACCAAUGCAUGAAGCACAGUCAAGCUCUGGGAAUCGAUGGGAUUCCAAGUUCAAGGAGACAUGAACAGAGUGGAAGAAGGCUGAGGAAAUCUGGGACCCAGGCUACCCUCAAAUAGCAGGACAAGCGAGCUCUGCCUCUCAUAGGGAGGAUAUCUGGACUCCCUGUGCUGUGACAGCUCUGAUCCCCAUUACACCAGAAAUAUCUGGCACCUCUGUCUCGAGUGGAGUGGUCCGCUUGCCUUCCCGGGUUUGUCUUCUGUGGAUUGGGUUGAAUGCACUCACCUGCCAUCUCAGAGAUGAGCGUGAACUAGGCAGUGCUUGUGAAGUGCU